GCCGCCGCCGCCGGCGGCGGGCAAGCCUGAGGCGCCGCGCGACCCGAAAGAAGGCGGCGGCGGCAAUGGCGGCGUCGUCAACUGAUGCUUCUCCUCUCCUUGCUCAUGCAUCUUGCUCGUCAUCUUCUUCAUCAUCAUCAUCUUGAGAAGAAGAUCAGAAGACAUGCAUGCAAAUUGCAAGUUGGAAAUAUGGAUCGAAACAGCUACCAGUGUACUGCAAGAGAUCGACCUCUCGAUCGAUAGAUUGGAAGGCUAGCUUUGCAUUCCUAUUUAAGUUUUUAUCUUUGACACUGGAAUGGAUAAUUUAGCAGAUUAGCUGCAUCUAUCAGCAUGACUAGGUUCAGGUUCGGAGUGAUUAAAAAUUCAAAAAAAAAGUUCAGAAUGAUUUAUAUUGCACAUUGUAAAUUUGUAAUAUGAUAUUUGUGAGGUACGUACUAAGGUAUACAUAUAUACCCGAUUUCCAAUGCUUCUUUUUUUUUUUGAUUGUUGUUGUACAAUCAGAAGAAG
rnacentral:lncRNA from 1 species